rnacentral:tRNA from 1 species
UGGCAUAUAGUAUAAUGGUUAAUGCAUAAUAUUACGAAUGUUAAAAUGUAAGUUCGAUUCUUACUAUGCCAU